UUCCAUGAUUUCCUGCUUGGAAACAGAAAAUAAUAACUCAGCCAUGUAACAGAUGACUAAGACUUAUUUCAGAAAGCCUUUCAAAAGUGCAAUCAUAUGCAUGCUACCAAUGGCUAUGCAGUGUGGGCUGACCGGCCAAGACUAAUCUGCCCUUCUACUGUAACGACAGGACCACAGAUUCAUACCAAAUUACAGGAGAUGGGGUCCAUACUCUAUACAUGCAAUAUGCCAAAAGGGAUGUGUUAUCCAAAGAAAAUCACAUGCCUUUUGAAAAGCUGAACAGGCAGAUGCACAAACAACAGAGACCCUAGAAGCCAGUAUACAAUCAAAAGUUGGAUCAUAAGUACAAAGUUAUUCCAUAGUGUUUUACUUGAUGCAUUUGAAAUGCAAUUUUAUUUUGUUACACCAAUUUUUCACUUGGUAAGAGUGGCCAAGCAAUUUUAAACCUACAUUUACCAUUUUAGUUUCCACUAGCAUUUUGGACAAAGGACACUGACAACAUUAACAGCAAUCUUUGCAUUUCACAAAUGAAAUAUAG
rnacentral:misc_RNA from 1 species